AUCUUUCCUACCCCCAUACGGGUUUGGAAACCCCAAGGACUGGCUGAGGUGUGGGAAUCACUCCUGGCCGAGGUCCGGCCUCGCAAGGUAACAGAUACAUGCACGGACAGAACCAUGUGAAAAAGAAAUCUACCAGAAGAUGAGUCCAUCAACUCAUUGCUAAGGUCCCCUGCCAGUGAGGAGGUACACUAAAGAAACUAGGAGACAGCAUAGCUGGGACAGGUGACCCAGACUAACCAAACAGAUAUUCCACACCAAAGAACAUCAUGCCUGGCAUAUAAACUGGGGGAAGUUACCUGGAAAGGAGGAUUAUAUGUGUUCGGGAAGGGGAGUCUGGUAUCAGUCAGCAGUACAACGAGCACCAUUGUACCUCAAAACCAGAAUUCUGCCAUGGUACAACAGCUGUGAUAUGCUGGUGACAUACCAUAACAGAGACCUGAACACAGUGACUCUGAAGACAGUGUUAUGAUAUUAGGCUGUAACAUCCAGCCACAAUGAAUCUGUGGAUCUCUUGUGAAACACUGAGUUUUCAUCAAGGACAUAGACUGAGUAGACAGAAAUUUUGAGUCUGCUUACAAGCAAUAAAACAAAAUAAAUACAUUACAAUGUAAUAAUAUAAAAUUAAAUUUAAAAUUUGUAAAAUGAAGAAUGAAUAGAACAUUUAUGUUCA